CGUGCUAUCGUCUGUCAUCCUUCCAGGUCUUGUAACCUGGCAACAGCUGUACACUAUAGCAAAAGCGCGAUGGCUAAAUUUGUUGUGGCUGGUCAGGCUGACUGUCCUUAUUUUGCUAAAGUUGAACUUCUAGCUGACUAUCUUCAGAAAAACCUACCUGAUUUCAGGGUUCACAAGAUCGUUCAACACCCAGAUGAUUGGAAGGACUGGCUGCAAGCAACCUGUGAAAAAAAUCGCUGGAGUUACACUCAAUCACCAAUAAUAUGGAGGGAACUAUUAGACAGAGGAGGAAAAGGUUUACUCUUAGGAGGCUUUAAUGAAUUCCUGGAGCAUGCACAGGAAUAUUAUGGCCUCAGCUCAUCCAUGCUUUCCGAGCUUAUGCUAAAGAUUGCAAAGGAAAAUCUGAAGACCAAACUUGAACUGAUUGAAGAAGACCAGAAGUAUCUCAGUCUCAUUAAUCCAAUGCAUAUCUGGAUAAGCAGUGCAUCAAAUGUAACAGCAUAUAAUCUAAUUCCCUUAUUGACCAGUGGAGAAUUGUUUGGAAGUGAAACAGAAGUCAGCUUGCACCUUUUGGAUAGUGAAGAGAAAGAAGACUUACUUAAUGGUCUGCAACUUGAAGCUAUGGACCUAGCAAGUCCUUUACUUCGUAGUGUCACUGUGCAUACAAACCAGUCCACUGCUUUCACCAAUGCUGAUGUCAUCAUUAUGCUAGAUGACAUCAAAGAACAGGAGAACCAAUAUCGUAAAGACUGUUUUAGAGAUAUAGCCAGCCAGUACAAGGAAUAUGCAUAUCUGAUUGAUCACAAUGCCCACAGGCAUGUUCGUGUGGCUGUUGCUGGGGACACAUUUGUGAACUUAAAGACUCUUGUUCUUAUACAGAAUACACCUUCCAUUGCACAAAAUAGUUUUGUUGGUGUUUCAACUCAGCUGGAAGGAGAAGCACGAUCACAGCUUGCUCAGAAACUAAACGUAGCUACUGUAGGAGUGAAGAAUGUCAUUGUAUGGGGUAACAUCACUGGAAGUACCUAUGUUGAUGUGAAGUUUGCUCAAGUGUAUAGAUACAAUAGUGCCAUCUGGGGGCCACCUUAUUUCUCCCGUCCGGUCUUAGACAUGGUAUAUGACAGGCAGUGGUUGGAGAAGGAAUUUGUUACUGCAGUAAAUUCCCAUCGGCAAACAGUAAAAGCAAAAGUUCAGCACCCAUUGGGCCUUUCAGCUGCAGCAGCAAUAGCUACUGUUCUUCAUUACUGGUACCAGGAUUCUCCUUCCGGGGAAAUUAUCUCACUAGGAGUUAUUAGUGAAGGUCAGUUUGGCAUUCCAGAAGGCAUUGUUUUUUCUAUGCCAGUUCGAUUCUGCAGAGGUAGCUGGGAAGUCAUAACUGAGCUUGAAGUUGGAGAAGAUGUGAAGGAACGCUUUAAAGUAAUAGCCACUGAACUGGUUCAGGAAAAGGAUGCUGCAUUGAAGGACUGCUAAUCAUUCCCAGUUCCUGAUCUGUCAGCUUCAGCGUGGAAUCAAUUCACCAAGGAUAUGGAACUUUUCAUCUCCUGCAAGCCUGAAUCAUAGGACAAUUGUGAGGUGCUACUGAAUAAAGAGCUGUUAAAGUCAAAGAAUUAAACAUGAUUAACUAAACUGCAGACUCCUGGUGGAAUGCUUCAGUCCUUUUUUUCUUUAUGUGGCUCCUUCGUUUAUAUCUGCAAAGCUGAAGAAGAUGUUUGUAGAAAUUAUUAUUUAUUAUAAUGAAAAGCUUAUCUACAAUAAAUAAAAACAAUCUUUAAACAA